AUUAACACCCCCAAACAAGUUUAUUCACCUGGGCUAAUUGUCUGUUUAUCCCCGGGCUUCCACUGCUGUAGUCUUUGCGAUAAGCAGCGGGGGGACUAGCUCCUCAAUACCGACGAGCCAUUAGCUCCCUCUUUGUUUAUUUAAUUCCGCACCGCCUCACAGCACAAUACGGGCACCCGUUAAACUCCAUCGCGUGACUUUACUCAAGAAGUAGAUUAUUUCAGCACUUCAGUCUUAACACUAACUAACAGCAAAAAUAACUUUGUGCUUUUUGUUCUGGAAAAAAACACAGGAUGCUUAAUGUUUUUCUUUCUUGCGUCGUCACAGCAUGAGCUGUUGGACCCAUCAGAGCCGAAAAUAAGCUGCCGAAAUUCAUUAUGCUGUUUCAGGCUAUCGUCGCAAGUUUCUUCCGAGAAUCUUCCUCAGUGGACGCACUUGGCAAGGUGUCUGUGGUCUGUCUCACGUGUCCGAAUAUGAACAUCAUCUUUACGUCUUCUUCCGACGCGGAUACGGUGCAUGCUCUCCACUCUAGAUAUCCGGAAAGAGCACACGCAGCUUGCAGCUUUGUGGGGCCGUCGGGAUGGGGCGCAACUGCCCCUUUUUAUUUGCUUAGUCGAAAGCUUUCAACCUCUUCUGUUGUGAAUCGCACAGGACCUUUGCAUAGCCGUAACCUGCAGACGUGAUGUGGGGUUUUUGACCCUCUGCUGAGGCACCAUGAUAAUCUCAAACCCUACUGACUGAAAAUGCUGUGUGGACUGAGCUCGUUAUGUACGGGUGAGUAACUCCUGUCGGAUGGGAUAUGUGUCUGCGUAAGAGCUGGACUAGAGGAGAUCGAUAGAGAGCGUCUGGACAGCUCCGGUACAGGCGCUGAGUUGUACCGGUCUGACAGCUACAAGCGGAGUAACGCCAAUGACCCUCAACAGGUAGAAGUGUUUCUUAGGAAAAUAUAAUAACUAUACACAAACCUCGCUAGUAUUUCAUUUGACCAGCUCUCCUAAAUGACAAAAUAAUAUUAAAUAUAUGACUUAUACCUACCUCAUAAUACAAUGAAAAUCAAUAUAAAAAGAGAAAUAAUUCACCGUAUACUACAUAAUUUACUGGGGUCCCCCCGCCCCUAGAAUUUUUAAACAGACGUUUUUCAUGGUCCACACCUGAUUAGGCUAUUUUAUGAUAUUAAUACAUAUCUCUGAUAUUCAUGGCAGCUUGUCAUCUUAUUUUAAAUUCAAGAUAUUAGAUUGCGAAAUGCUUAUUUUGCAGUGUAGUUGUUUUAAACUAGUAAAAAAAAAGUUAUUUCAAGUACAUAUUCGACAUGAACCAAUAAAAUAAAAAAAGGCAGAAAAGCUAAGGUUUAUAUUAUGUAGACAGUUUUAUAGGUAAAUCUGGCCAUACGAGUCUCUGUUCUUUCAUUAGGGACCUAAAUCUAAAGCUAUAUACAAAUUUCUUUUAAGCUACUUAUUGUGACAAUACUCAAUUGUUAAAGGCGCUAUAUAAACAAAAUACAUUUGGUCUGAAUUGAAAUUAAUCGUACCCUCGUAACUUUAGACUGUCUAUUCAGAUUUAGUUUCCCCAAAAGCAUCUCUGGCUAUUAGUCGUUAACAUGUAGAGCAUCACGUUGACCACUGAAAGUGAGAACAACUGAAACUGGCCCCAAAGCUCAAAGUGUGUAUGUGAUUUUGUUGGAAUUUAACUUAUCGUUAAGUGCUCAGAACAUAAAUUACAGGUAUUUUCUUUCUUUCUUUCUUUCUUUCUUUCUUUCUUUCUUUCUUUCUUUCUUUCUUUCUUUCUUUCUUUCUUUCUUUCUUUCUUUCUUUCCCACUUACCAUGGAAUUUGAGAAGGAAAGUAAGUAAAAGUCUUUACUUUUGGUAACUAGUUUACAGAAGGCUUUUAAUACUAGUUAAUUUACUAUUUUACUCAGUUUUCUUCUAUGUACUGGGUAAAUAAAUUAACAUGGAUCAGCAUUGCUUGUUUUUUCCCCCAUAUAAUUUAAUUACACUGUAUUACAAAAAA